GCCAAACAGCUAGCUCAAUUACCCAAUAACUAAACAAUAUAAAUAAAACAAAAUAAGCCUAACACCAAAAAUUAAAUCAUUCUUUUACCUUAGUAUGGGCGACAGAAAAGGUUACACCUGGAGCAAUAGAAAAAGUACCGCAAGGGAAAGCUGAAAGAGAAAUGAAAUAACUUAUAUAAGCACCAAAAAGCAAAGAUUAAAUCUUGUACCUUUCGCAUCAUGAUUUAGCCAGUAUAUCCAAGCAAAGAGACCUUUAGUUUGAAACCCCGAAACCAAGUGAGCUACCCCGAGACAGCCUAUUAAGGGCCAACCCGUCUCUGUGGCAAAAGAGUGGGAAGAGCUCCGGGUAGAGGUGACAGACCUACCGAACUUGGUGAUAGCUGGUUGCCUAAGAAGUGAAUAGAAGUUCAGCCUCGUACUCCCUGAAUCAAAAGAUAUAAAAAGAUAUUAGAGGGAAAUAUAUGAGAGUUAGUUAAAGGGGGUACAGCCCCUUUAACAAAGGACACAACCUUUCCAGGAGGAUAAAGAUCAUAAUGCAUAAGACAUCCUGUUCUAGUGGGCCUAAAGGCAGCCAUCUAAACAGAAAGCGUUAAAGCUCAGACAGAAAUAAGUUUAUUAUUCCGACAAGAAAUCUUACUCCCCUAAAUAUUAUUAGGCCAGCCCAUGCCCACAUGGGAGAGACUAUGCUAAAAUGAGUAACAAGAAGGCCAGCCCUUCUCCAAGCACAAGUGUAAGCCAAACCGGACCGACCAUUGGCAAUUAACGAACUCAACCCGAGAGAGUAAUGUGUAUUACAACGAAACCAGGAAGAACCCACAAUUAACCCAUCGUUACCCCCACACUGGCGUGCUAUUAAAGGAAAGACUAAAAGAAGGGAAAGGAACUCGGCAAACACAAGCCUCGCCUGUUUACCAAAAACAUCGCCUCCUGCAACACAACCAAGUAUAGGAGGUCCAGCCUGCCCAGUGACUACAAGUUCAACGGCCGCGGUAUUUUGACCGUGCAAAGGUAGCGCAAUCACUUGUCUCUUAAAUGGAGACCUGUAUGAAUGGCUAAACGAGGGCUUAACUGUCUCCCCCCUCCAGUCAGUGAAAUUGAUCUACCCGUGCAGAAGCGGG
rnacentral:rRNA from 1 species